AGCAGUCGCCGCGGUAACACGUAGGGUGCGAGCGUUAAUCGGAAUUACUGGGCGUAAAGCGUGCGCAGGCGGUUUUGUAAGACAGGCGUGAAAUCCCCGGGCUCAACCUGGGAAUGGCGCUUGUGACUGCAAAGCUAGAGUGCGGCAGAGGGGGAUGGAAUUCCGCGUGUAGCAGUGAAAUGCGUAGAUAUGUGCAGGAAUGCCGAUGGCGAAGGCAAUCCCCUGGACCUGUACUGACGCUCAUGCACGAAAGCGUGGGGAGCAAACAGGAUUAGAUACCCCCGUAGUCCCUGUCUCUUAUAC
rnacentral:rRNA from 1 species